rnacentral:rRNA from 1 species
CGAACGGGGUGAGUAAUGCGUGACCAACCUGCCCCAUGCUCCAGAAUAGCUCUUGGAAACGGGUGGUAAUGCUGGAUGCUCCAACUUGACGCAUGUCUUGUUGGGAAAGUGUUUAGUGGCAUGGGAUGGGGUCGCGUCCUAUCAGCUUGUAGGCGGGGUAAUGGCCCACCUAGGCUUCGACGGGUAGCCGGCCUGAGAGGGCGGACGGCCACAUUGGGACUGAGAUACGGCCCAGACUCCUACGGGAGGCAGCAGGA